AUUGAACGCUGGCGGCAGGCCUAACACAUGCAAGUCGAGCGGAGCGGCGGACGGGGGAGUAAUGCCUAGGUAUCUGCCUGGUCGUGGGGGAUAGCGUCCGGAAAUGGGCGCUAAUACCGCAUCCUAUCAGAUGCGCCUAGGUCGGAUUAGCUAGUUGGUGGGGUAAAGGCCUACCAAGGCGACGAUCCUUAACUGGUCUGAGAGGAUGAUCAGCCACACUGGAACUGAGACACGGUCCAGACUCCUACGGGAGGCAGCAGUGGGGAAUAUUGGACAAUGGGCGAAAGCCUGAUCCAGCCAUGCCGCGUGUGUGAAGAAGGUCUUCGGAUUGUAAAGCACUUUAAGUUGGGAGGCGUUACCAACAGAAUAAGCACCGGCUAACUUCGUGCCAGCAGCCGCGGUAAUAC
rnacentral:rRNA from 1 species